GGGGAGGGGGCGGGGUUUAACCUUCCCGCCACCGAAGGCUGGCACCUUCCUGCUCAGGCUCUGCUUCAAGAAGAAUUGGAUGAAUAAUGUGUGCACAUUCACUUCUGACAUUGAAUUCCCAAAAAUGUGACAGCCUUAACCCUGGACCUGCCUGCUCUAAGUACCUGGGAUGACCUGGGAGUUCCAUGCACAUUUCCCAGCACUCAGAUGGACAAGGGCAGCUUGCUGCCUGCAUUUUGGGCGAUACUGACUGAGGUACUGGCUCCUCCUCACCUCCAGCUCACAGGACACAGGGUAUUGCAGGAUCUGAAACUGGUUCUGGACAUCAGAUGGGAGCUGGUGAAGGGAUGUCUCACGCUCCAGCAGCAGAAGGAGCACACUCCAGCAGCCAGUUCCUUAACAUGGAUUUCUCUCUCGGUGGGUGGGGACGGAUCCUCUGGUGUGCCCCAGGGUGGUGUGGGCAGGGCCCUGGGAAGGAGAGGGAUGAGCAGGGGGAGGUGCUCCUGGGAUACACCAGAGAGUAGCAACAGCCCAGUGCACAUUGCUGGGCUUUGGCUGCCGGGCAGGAUAUUUGUCUCCUCACAGACCUGCACAUUUGCCCUGGUUUCAGCCAGGACAGGAUGAAAUUUUUUCACAGCAGCCAUGAGGGGCAGGGUCUGGAGCCGUGUGGCUGGGUCGAGGUUGUUAUUCCAUACCAUGCACUUCACUUCCAGGGUGGAAAGGUGGAAGUGAGGGACUCUCCCUUCCUGAGGGAGAAUGACAUUCCCUUUUGUUGGGGAAAAUAAUGGUGUAGGCAGGAAGAGCUGUUGGGUGUUGUGGUUUUCCAUGUAGAUAAAUAAUUCUGUAUACCUUGUGUUAUAAAUAUUGUUGUUAUUACUGUUUUUUUUCUUAUCUCGUUGCUGUUUCCAGUUGCUGUUCUUAUCUCAACACAUGAUUUGCACCUUUUGUGCCUCCAAUUCUCGAUGCCAUCCCCUCCGGAGAGGAGGAAGGUGGAGGGGAAGGGGGGCAGUGAGAGGCAUCUGGUUUGGGAGAGUCUUGAUGGAGACACUGAAUUGGGGAAUAGAAUUUCUAAAGCACAGCAUCCUUCUAUCUCAUCACACAGACCUGCACAUUUAAUCUCAGCUGCUGCAUUGCAACAAACAGAGCGACAAUUCAGG
rnacentral:lncRNA from 1 species